rnacentral:misc_RNA from 1 species
ACAACGGAAAAAUUGCAUGAAAAAAUAAAUAAUAAAUAAUUUGGCAACGUUUUAAAAUUCAAAUUCAGCCACCAGGGGGACUACAGUCAUCCAGAAAUAAGUUGAGCAUUAAAAAAAAAACCGUUAGAAAUGUUCUCGCACUCAUUCUGGACAGACGUCGACAAUACGUUCCAGAAUCUUAGUUGAAAUUUCGUAAAUUUUAAAAUUUUCCACCACAGAAUUGUUUUCUUCUUACAUAAACACGAAGAAUCCAGUUCAUCUUCCCCUAAGUUUUGAAGACUGCUUCCAAUUGAUAUUCCUCGCAGAACUCUGGGAUUUGUUUCUACUAAAGAUUAACUUUCUUCCAACACCAACACGAAGAAUCGAAUUCAUUUCCCACCGUGUUUGAAGCCUGCUUCUAAUUUUUCUUCAUUGAACUGGGAUUUAUUUUAUUUAUUCAUCAAAUCAGCAGAACAGCAUUACA